UUGGGAGCUCUCCCAUAUGGUCGACCUGCAGGCGGCCGCGAAUUCACUAGUGAUUCGUAUUACCGCGGCUGCUGGCACGUAGUUAGCCGGGGCUUCUUCUGGAGGUACCGUCACCCUCUGGGCUAUUCACCCGAGUAGCUUCGUCCCUCCUGAAAGAGGUUUACAACCCGAAGGCCUUCUUCCCUCACGCGGCGUCGCUGCGUCAGGCUUUCGCCCAUUGCGCAAUAUUCCUUACUGCUGCCUCCCGUAGGAGUCUGGCCCGUGUCGCAGUGCCAGUGUGGCUGAUCGUCCUCUCAGACCAGCUACCCGUCGAAGCCUUGGUGAGCCGUUACCUCACCAACAAGCUGAUAGGACAUGAGCCCAUCCAAGAGCGCGAUACCCACGGUAUCGCUUUCCUCCCUGAACCGAAGUCCAAGAAGCGUACGCGGUAUUAGCUAACCUUUCGGCUAGUUAUUCCCCACUCGAGGGUAGGUUACCCAUGUAUUCCUCACCCGUUCGCCGCUUUACAAACGUAUUGCUACGUCUUCUCGCUCGACUUGCAUGUAUUAGGCGCGCCGCCAGCGUUCGUUCUGAGCCAUGAUCAAACUCUAAUCGAAUUCCCGCGGCCGCCAUGGCGGCCGGGAGCAUGCGACGUCGGGCCCA
rnacentral:rRNA from 1 species